UUGGAGGGCAAGUCUGGUGCCAGCAGCCGCGGUAAUUCCAGCUCCAAUAGCGUAUAUUAAAGUUGCUGCAGUUAAAAAGCUCGUAGUUGAAUUUCGGGACCAUCAUGUCGGUCGUGCCUCGGUACGUACUGGUAUUGUUGGUUUCUCCCUUCUGACGAACCAUGAUGUCAUUUAUUUGGUGUUGUGGGGAAUCAGGACUGUUACUUUGAAAAAAUUAGAGUGUUUAAAGCGGGCUUUUGCUUGAAUAGAUUAGCAUGGAAUAAUAGAAUAGGACGUUGUGGUUCUAUUUUGUUGGUUUCUAGGACCACCGUAAUGAUUAAUAGGGAUAGUUGGGGGCAUUAGUAUUCAAUUGUCAGAGGUGAAAUUCUUGGAUUUAUUGAAGACUAGCUACUGCGAAAGCAUUUGCCAAGGAUGUUUUCAUUAAUCAAGAACGAAAGUUAGGGGAUCGAAGACGAUCAGAUACCGUCGUAGUCUUAACCAUAAACUAUGCCGACUAGGAAUCGGGCGACGUUAUUUUCAUGACUCGUUCGGCGCCUUACGGGAAAC
rnacentral:rRNA from 1 species